rnacentral:rRNA from 1 species
CUCGCUCUGGCAGUUUGGGCCAUGUUCCAAGUAGCUUCGAAUUUAUACCCACCACGUAGUCCAAGGAAUAUUUUCGGCAACUGGUUGCGGGGUAUUGAUAAAGAAUUUUAUGCACAUAUUCUUGUGGGAGCGGCGGCCUUAUGCUGGGCAAUGUGGCUUACCAGGAAUGAUGUGAUUUUUAACAAUAAAUGUGUCUCAUCUCCUAUGCAGGUUAUUCAUGUUUGUACAUGAUGGCUCCGUACUUGGUCUAUCCUGCAGAAGCCGGAGGACAGGGACCUUUUUAUGAUGGCGUCUACACGGCUGGAGUGUACGUUGAGGGAGGUUUUCUAUCCCCAUGGAUGGCGGUGUGAUUUACGGAUAGGAUCUACCGCUCCUUAG